UCCUUUGUUCGUUCUUUUAUUUUUUUGACAGAAACUACAAAUUUUUGUUGGCGUAUGUUUCAUGAGGUUUUCUACAACUUCUGGUAUAAGAUUAUCGAAUAUCCAUUUGAGUACGAUCAAAAUGUACAAGGAAGAACUUCUCUUCAUUUUAUAAGCCCUAAGUCCUAAAUUUAUUGCGAUAAGGAUAAUUCAUUGGAUGGUUCUUUCUAGAGAAACCGUUAGAAGAAUCCGUUGUGUUUCCGUUUGAACGAUCUAGUGCACAUUUGUCGUCUAAGUGCGCGAACCACUCCCGGCUGGUGUUAACGUGUUACUACCGCGAGAUAACAAAAUGGCUGUUAAUGUGUAUGCAACAAAUGUGACCACCGAUAAUCUAAGUCGUCAUGACAUGUUGGCAUGGGUUAAUGAUUGCCUGCAAUCAUCAUUUACCAAGAUUGAAGAAUUAUGUACAGGAGCUGUUUAUUGUCAAUUCAUGGAUAUGCUCUUUCCUGGAAGUGUACCUUUGAAGAGGGUAAAGUUCAGAACUAAUCUUGAACAUGAAUAUAUACAGAAUUUUAAAAUUCUUCAAGGUGGUUUCAAAAAAAUGAGCGUUGAUAAGAUAGUGCCAAUUGACAAGCUGGUGAAAGGCAGGUUCCAAGACAACUUUGAAUUUUUACAAUGGUUCAAGAAGUUUUUUGAUGCAAAUUACUCAGGAGCAGAACCCUAUGAUGCACUUGCUAUGCGAGGAGGUGAAGCUAUGGGUAGUGGUGGGAACACUGCACCACGUGGCUCAAAUGUGAAACGUCCUACACCACGUGAUGUAAACUCAGCAAAAACUACCACUCGUACUGGUGAUGGAACUCAAUCUGUACAGGCACCUAGUAUGAAGCCUUUGAACAAACCUAUAAAUAAAGCUCAACCAUUCCGCCCUCAACAAAAGACCGUAGCAGCAAAUCGCGGAGAUUCUGAAAAAGUUGAAGAGCUCAGUGCACAGGUUGUGGAGCUUAAAAUGUCGAUUGAUGGUCUAGAAAAAGAAAGAGAUUUCUACUUUGGAAAAUUACGUGACAUAGAAGUAAUAUGUCAAGAUUGUGAGAAUGGUGAUCCUCCUCCUAUUAUACAAAAAAUAUUAGAUGUUCUUUAUGCAACAGAGGGUUAUGAAAAUGAUGAAGGAGAAAGCAAACAGACAUAGUAACAUUUUUUAUUUAUUUUUAAUAGAAGGUCAUUCUCUUAAUGAAGACAAUAUUGUAAAAUUAUAGAUUUUCUUAAUGAAGGAUGGAUUUGCACCGCCGGAAGAAUUAGAGGGAGAUGGGUUGGCCCCUGACGACGAAGAAGAGUAUUAACAUUUUUUUACUAUCAUAAAAACAAGGACACAGUAAAUCAUCCAAGUGCAUCUCCCGUUUAUUAUAUCUGCGAGCCAGUACCAGUACUCCUUGCAUAAUUAAUAAUAAGUCACUCUGUAUAGUUGUUCAAUCAUUUGUGCGUAAGUUUUGUUGCUAAUGUUCACGAAGCUCAUAAGAAUUUGCACGAGAAUUAGGCCCCGACACUUUUAUAGUGCACUCGAGUACUUGUACUUUUCGUGUUUUCUCCUUUUUUUCUUUCUUUCUUAUAUAUUUGCAAUAUUUUUUUCCUCCUUAACCACUAGUAACACAUAUGAAAGACUUAUUGUAUCGGUAUAUAACUUACUACUAAUUGUUGUUUCCUCCUUAACAACAUUAAUCAUGUUUAUAAAAAAAUUAUGGGAAGUGGUGAUUAAGAAGGAAAAAAAAAUAGUUAGUGGUAAAUUAUAUGAUAUACAGUGAGUGUGUCUUCAUCAUGUAACGGCUGCCAUUUUUGGAUUUACAAUAUUAAUCAUAUUUUAUAUAGAAUUUAAAGAAAUUUCCGAAUAAUAUUACACAAAGUAGCCUGAAUUUUUAUGCAACGAGCAUGUUAAUCGUUUAUUUUCUCCGUAAAGUGCAAAGAACGUUUCUGUUUAUAGUUGCACUAUACCUGUGUCGAUAAGCGUCGAAGCUUCUAUUUCUUAAUAUUUUGUUUUAUGAAAUGUCUAUAUUUUUAGAAUAUCAUGCUGUUAAUCCACAGUUAAAUGUUAAUAAUGUCACUCGAGGCAUCCCUUCGUGUGCAAUUUAAAUGAAGAUUGCAGUCCAUUCUUUGAUGUGAGAUAGUGCUGUACGCCAAUUAUACCGAUGUUGAUUUUAAUUUUUGUAAUAUAACUGGAAUGUAUGUAAGAAAGUUUUAGUAUUUGUGGUACAAGACUAAAAAGAAAAAAAAUAUAUAUAUAUAUUUCCUUGUGAUUCUUUCGUCACUAACGAUGCGAUGGCACAAUAUGCAUAGUAAAAAAAGUUAGAUGAAAGAAAAUACGAAUUUCAAACAAAAGAAACGAAAAUGUAGAAUUAGUCGCAAGUUUUUUAAACCUUCGUUUAUCAUAUUCUCCAUAAUUACGUGAAAAUUUCGAAAUAUUAUUAAAUUUAUCUUAUAACUCUUUAUUAUAUACUUUUAUUAAUAAUAUUUGAUAUCGUACGUUCUCAAA